ACGCUCGACACCUACGGGAGGCAGCAGUUGGGAAUAUUGGACAAUGGAGGAAACUCUGAUCCAGUGACGCCGCGUGAAGGAAGAAGGUCUUCGGAUUGUAAACUUAUUUUGUCAGGGAAGAAAAAUGACUGUACCUGAAGAAAAAGCACCGGCUAACUACGUACCAGCAGCCGCGGUAAUCUGAGCGGGCUGGCAAGGC
rnacentral:rRNA from 1 species